rnacentral:rRNA from 1 species
CUAGUAAUCGCGCAUCAGCCAUGGCGCGGUGAAUACGUUCCCGGGCCCUUGUACACACCGCCCGUCAAGCCAUGGGAGCCGGGGGUGCCUGAAGUACGUGACCGCGAGGAGCGUCCUAGGGCAAAACUGGUGACUGGGGCUAAGUCGUAACAAGGUACC